UAGGGAAUAUUAGAAAUGGACGAAAGUCUGAUCUAGCAACACCGCGUGUGCGAAGAAGGCCUUCGGUUCGUAAAGCACUUUUUGGAAGGAAUAGGAAGGAAUGUACUUCCAGAAUAAGUCUCGGCUAACUACGUGCCAGCAGCCGCGGUAACACGUAGGAGGCGAACGUUAUCCGGAUUUACUGGGCGUAAAGCGCGUGUAGGUGGUUCUGUAAGUAGGGCGUGAAAGCUCCUGGCUCAACUGGGAGAGGCCGUUCUAAACUACAGAACUAGAGGAUGGUAGAGGGAGGUGGAAUUCCAGGUGUAUCGGUGGAAUGCGCAGAUAUCUGGAGGAACACCAGUGGCGAAGUCGGCCUCCUCGACCAUUCCUGACACUCAGCCGCGAAAGCUAGGUUAGCAAACG
rnacentral:rRNA from 1 species